rnacentral:snoRNA from 1 species
UGCAGCCUUGUCAAUUCCAUGUUUUUCUGCUACAAUGGGAACUGUACUGGCCCAAAAUGGCUGCCACAGGGAGUAAUUCAUGAGCCACACAUCCCUGAGACUGCUGGCAUGUUUUUCUGGGGAUAAAUGUGUGCUCAGACAAUU